AUGGAUACCUGGCGACGAGUUCAGGAUGAUCAAGAACGCUCUGGCUCCCGGUGAAGGCUCGCCAUUGUAUCUCGGUGGGUUGAAACUCGCGACGGACCCUGAUCGGGCACGCUCGAGCCAGCAGUGUUUUUUCUGUGUGCGUCAGUGGUACANNNNNUAGGACGCU
rnacentral:snRNA from 15 species